UACAGAGGUCUCAAGCGUUGUUCGGAUUCAUUGGGCGUAAAGAGCGCGUAGGCGGCCAGAUAAGUCCGGUGUGAAAGUCACGAGGCUCAACCUGUGAAUGCCGCUGGAAACUGUCUGGCUAGAGUCCGGGAGGGGCGAGUGGAAUUCCUGGUGUAGCGGUGAAAUGCGCAGAUAUCGGGAGGAACACCAGUGGCGAAGGCGGCUCCCUGGUCCGAUUCUGACGCUGAGACGGCGAAAGCGCGGGGAGCGAACGGG
rnacentral:rRNA from 1 species